rnacentral:rRNA from 1 species
UGACAGGUGCUGCAUGGCUGUCGUCAGCUUCGUGUCGUGAGAUGUUGGGUUAAGUCCCGCAACGAGCGCAACCCUCGCCUUUAGUUGCCAGCAUUCAGUUGGGCACUCUAGAGGGACUGCCGGUGUCAAACCGGAGGAAGUGGGAUGACGUCAAGUCCUCAUGGCCUUUAUGUCUAGGGCUACACACGUACUACAAUGGCCGGUACAAAGGGCAGCCACUCAGCGAUGAGGCGCUAAUCCCAUAAAGCCGGUCUCAGUCCGGAUCGCAGUCUGCAACUCGACUGCGUGAAGUUGGAAUCGCUAGUAAUCGUAGAUCAGCAUGCUACGGUGAAUACGUUCCCGGGCCUU